rnacentral:rRNA from 1 species
ACGCACGCUGGCGGCGUGCUUAACCCAUGUAAGUCGCACGGAAAGGCCCUGCUUUUGUGGGGUUCUCGAGUGGCGAACGGUUGAUUAACACGUUAGUAACCUGCCCUUGACUUUGGGAUUACUUCAGGAAACUUGGGCUAAUACCGGAUAGGAGCUCCUUCUGCAUGGUGGGGGUUGGAAAGUUUCGGCGGUUGGGGAUGGACUCGCGGCUUAUCAGCUUGUUGGUGGGGUAGUGGCUUACCAAUGCUUUGACGGGUAGCCGGCCUGAGAGGGUGACCGGCAAAAUUGGGACUGAGAUACGGCCCAGACUCCUACGGGAGGCAGCAGGGGGGAAUAUUGCACAAUGGGCGGAAGCCUGAUGCAGCAACGCAGCGUGCGGGAUGACGGCCUUCGGGUUGUAAACCGCUUUCGCCUGUGACGAAGCGUGAGUGACGGUAAUGGGUAAAGAAGCACCGGCUAACUACGUG